GAGUCAUAAAACCUAAUUGAAGCAUCAUGACAGAUACAGCUAAAACGUGAUACUUUUAUUUUAUAUAUAUCUAUAUAUAUAUAAAGAAAGAAAGAAAAAGUUGCGUUGAAGAUGGUAUCAGAUGAGUGAACACGGCAAGGCAAGCAUGGCAUCGAGAUUGAUGCGUGUUCUGUCGUAUUACCGCGAAUUGGGUGAAGUCAAGCUAAAGUGGGCAUUUUGCAGACUCUGCCAUUCAGUGAGUCACGUGACAUUACAUCAACGCGUUUUACUUUAAUAAUAUAAUGAUAUUUAAAAUUAAGAAUAUAGUUAUAAUAAAAUUUUACCAGUGGUAAAAAAUAUCAUCCCAAAUUAAAUAAAAACAGUCCUUUCAGUUUCAAAAUAAUGGCAGUUGAACGGUUGAUUAAGGCGCGGUGAGCGUGGCGAGGGUGGUAAGGGCUUGGUAUAUAUUAUUAGGGUGGGAGUGUGUUGAGUGAGUGCAAGAGGUUUCCUCUGGAAAAGAUGAGGCAGAAAGGAAAGAGAGCUAUGAGCGAGGAAGGGUUCGGUAAUGGGUGGUUAGGUAAGAGAAAUCAGAUUAUUCUCUCUGUCUUCUUUUCCUCUUGCCUGAGCCUCCCAUUCCUAAUACUUCCUAGUUCCUCUCCUUCCUCUUUUAUUUGCCUCCCAUUUCAAUUCACACCAGCGUCAACUCACCAGUGUGAAGAACAACCGAUUCACACGAGUUUCUUACAUUUCGUCACAGGAUCAGUGACCAAGACUCAUUUCCGUAACCACAUCACGAGUUUCCGAGUUGUAAUCUCAAGUUUUUUUAAAUAAAAUUCUAGAAUAUUUUCUAUAUUGAGAUUUAUAAUGUGAUUCGAUUUCACCGGUUGUGAGAUGUAGUAAGGAGAUAUUAUCAUACGAAAAAUGUAGAGCAAAAUUUCUCCUAUGUCUGAUCUUCGCACCAGAGUACUCUCUUACCUGAGAAAGAGAUACUAUCAUUAACCAUUUGUUUGUUAAAACAUUCAUUCCUGAUCUCAGGUCCAUCCGAACUUGGGAAGAAGGGGAGGUGAAUAAAUCAAUGAAAUAUUUCCAUUAUAAAAUAUUCUAGGUAUAAUUUUUUUUCUAUUUUCAAUUGUGUAUUUAGUUAACAUUAAUGAAGGUUAAAACUAUAACUCAGCAAAAGAAAAUGUUCAAAUGAAAGUUUAUCGUUACAU